UUUUUUUUUUUUUUUUUUAACCAAAUCAAAGGGGAAAGACAUGUGGAGAUGAGUUAGACUAGGAACACAAAGCAGGCAGACAGCCUCAUCAACCAACGGGCGACAAACGUCCUUCCACUGGUGACCUGGCAGCAGUUAGGAUAAAGCCACCGGCUUUCUAGAUCGCCGACGGAAGGGAGAGACUCAGCCAGAGGGCCUCUUGCUACGUUGAAGCAGGGAGAUGGGACUCCGCCACCUGCUCCUAGGCUGUGUCUCCUCGGCAGGGGCAUGGCACUGCUCCAGAGGCAAGAAACGGAUCCCCAAAUGUCCGAUUAGCCCCAAACUAAAGUUUAACAGAAUUCCGAUGUUCAGAGGCAUCACAAAACUCUGACAUUUGAGGGGCCGUGUCAGAAUGAUUCCCAAAGGCGAACAAAGGCCCCCAUGUGCUUUCUCUUGAAACUGCUUCUCAGAAACAAAUCAGUAAUUCACUCCCACCUCUUCCUUAGCAUCCCGAGACCUGCCUCUACUUCUGUCACGGCAGGUGCCCAGCAGCCCCGGGGCCACAGCCUAUCAGCUCUAGCGGGUCUUGUACCGGCAAGAAACCAAGCUGGCACUCGGAGAGUUGGAGAACUCGGGUUUAUGAUGCUGGUGGGCUCUGAGGAGCUCCCACUCCGGAGUCUGAGCCCCAGAGAUGAGUUUGACAAGGCUUUCAUGGGUUAGCUCUUCUGGGCCCAUGCUUGGAAGGACAGACCAGAGUAAGGACAGGCAAGGUAGCUGAUGCAGAAGCAAGUUUACAGAAGUGGAGUUGUGGGGAGGGGGUAGUUACUUAGCUGGAUUCUGCUUUGUCGUCUGGCCUUUAUCUUAGGAGACCUCUCCCCUACAUCCACCUCCCACCAUGCUCUUUGAAAUUCCUAAAAGGCAUCAACCUUUAUGAUCUUCUUGGCCCAGGGGCUGAUAUAAGGGCGGCCCAGAUGUCACCACCAUGUGUAACUUGUUAGAUUCUGGACUCUAGGCGUGAGGAGACAAACUUGACCCUACAGCUCCGGAUACAGGGUCCAAAUGAGAGGGCACGAAGAGCAGGAGCGGCCCAGCGAAAGCCACGAGCCAUGAUGCCCGGCUCCAGUAGUUACCCCAACUUAACCAGGAGUCAGCCAAUUCGUCUCUUCACUUCGCUGUGUGUUCUUUUAAGUGUUAGGCCCUAUUCUGAGUACUCCCGACCUGUGUGUGUAAACACAACAUCCUUCACUGAGGAGCAGGCCAAGCGCCCCCGUCUCAGCAGGAAGUCCAAUCCUCUCCUGUGCUGGAGGGCUACUUCUGCCAGAGCCCACCUGGUCCUGUAAGGCCACUAGGGCAGGGGCUACUUGUUCCUUGUCAUCUGUGAAUCCUGUAGAUAACGGAUGAUCACAGGCAAUGGACGCCAUCCUCCCGCUCCCACCCCUGCUGAAAUUCCCAGACCAACUAAUAAGCGGAUAACUUGUGCUGCUCUCUUGGUUCUGCCAUGUGCCUCCACGGGCACCAUAAGAGACUGAUUACCAGGGACAGUAUGUAUUUGAGGAGUGACAAAGGCUAGUGUGGUGUGCAGGCCGUGUCCAGUUAGCAGGGAGCCUCUGGUAGGUGUGAUUUCCGCACACAAAUAAGAGGCCUGUCUGGGGUCUGCACCAAGGGAUCAAGGAGGGGUCUAAGUCCUUGACAUUGGUGACACUGUCACACUGCUCCUUCGCCGGCAGGUUACCCACCUGAACCACUUUCCCAAGGCUCUGAAGGCACCUCAGGGCCCUGAGAGGCAUGCAUACACCUAUCGGCCUAGGUUCUUGGAUCCAACUGGCUUUGCCUUCCCUGGCGGCACUGAGGACGCUCAUCGGGACAGCAGUAGGCUGGGGCUUCUGGAUGGGCAGCCAGAGCCAGCAGUCCCUCGCAUUCAGCACCUGGCCCAGGCCGGGGCCUUGGCUCGGAGGGCUGAGUUUCAGCCCGGUAGCUUUAUCAGGGGGGUGGCGGAGGCCCCUCAUGUAACUCUUCGAACUUGAAAUCUAUUCCCGGUAGCCAGCCGGGUAGUGGUUUCCAGGCAGCCUGGCAUGAGUCAGCCCUGUUCCAGCCUGUCGCCCCUGGAGUGAGCAGCAGGGCGAGUGUUCACAGGACUGUGAGUCCCUUGAUUUUGCUCGCUGACCUGGUAGGAGCAGGGAUCCUAGCACACUGCCCGUCAGGAGACACACUGCACAGACAGGCAGCUGGGCUCCCUGUCCCCAUCCCGAGGGGGUUACGGCACAGAGCCCCACUCCAAACACGAGGGCUAUGGCAAUGGCAAUGGCAAUUACCAACAGUCCCCGUCAGUUCAAGUUUGCAUGGAGAUCCUCUGGCUUCCAGGGCACAGUUCAACGAGCUUCCAGGUGUGGGCAGAGCAGGGCUCAUUGUUUUCCGAUGGUGGGCGCCUACAUAUCUUGACCUUGAGGGGGUUCUCACGGUGCCAGGCAGUGUCCCAGGCAUCUGUGUCAGCGGUGGGAGCAGCCUUCUUUAUUCUGGUGUGAUGGAGCCACGGACACCUGCAAUUUUGACCGCAGCUGGAGGAGAGAAAUUAACCACGGUCUCCCGGGUGAUGCAAUGGAGGACUUUCCCCACGGCCCGGAGGUGUCGGGAUAGCUCCACGUCGGCUUUCUGCCUGGGAUCCCCCUUCAACUUCGCUAUUACAGGAGGGGGCCUUCCAUACAGAGUUUCAAACGGGGUGUAGCCCGUGGAUCUGGGGCAGCGCCUUGGGCUCGGAGUAAGGCUAAGGGCAGGACAUCUACCCGUGGUAGCUGAGUCUCCUGGCACCACUUAGCUAGAGUGGUUUUAAGGGUCCGGUUCACGCGCUCACCUUUCCCUGAACGUUGUGGCCUAUAAGCUGUACGGAGUUUCCACCCGACUCCCAGGAUCUCAGUCAAGAUCUGGGUGGAGUUCCCGUCAUGGUGCAGUGGUUAAUGAAUCCCACUAGGAACCAUGAGGCUGCGGAUUGGAUCCCUGGCCUCGCUCAGUGGGUUAAGGAUCCAGCGUUGCUGUGAGCAUUGCUGUAGGCUGGCAGCUACAGCUCCGAUUGGACCCCUAGCCUGGGAACCGCCAUGUGUUGCAGGAAGCAGCCCUAGAAAAGGCAGAAAGACACAUGAAG
rnacentral:lncRNA from 1 species